AAAACAUGUCCUUUUGUUGUUUAUAUGAGGUUUGACCUGCCCAAUGAUUUAUUUUAAUGGCCGCGGUAUUUUAACCGUGCUAAGGUAGCAUAAUCAUUUGUCUUCUAAUUAAGGGCUUGGAUGAAGGGUUGGACGAGGCAUAAACUUUCUUUAAUUUAUUUGUUGAAUUUAAUUUUUGAGUCAAAAGGCUCAAAUAUAUUUGAGGGACGAGAAGACCCUAUAGAUCUUUACAUUUAUUUUUUUUAUAGUUUUUGGGGUAUAAUUUAUUAUAAUUAAUUAUAUGUUUGGUUGGGGUGAUUUCAGAAUUAUUAUAACUUCUGUUUUUAUAUCACUGAUUAGUGUUUAAUUGAUCCGUCUGUGGCGAUUAAAAGUUUAAGUUACCUUAGGGAUAACAGCGUAAUUUCUUUGGAGAGUUCAUAUCGAUGAAGGAGUUUGCGACCUCGAUGUUGGAUUAAAAUAAGUUGUGGGUGUAACAAUUCAUUGACUAGGUCUGUUCGACCUUUUAAUUUUUACAUGAUCUGAUAAA
rnacentral:rRNA from 1 species